GUAGGUGGUUUGUGUUUGUUUGGUGACGUGUUCUAACAACACUGUGGUGCUGCACAAUGGGACAGAUACAUGGUGGUGUAUAAACAUUGUCAUCUACGUGAUGUAAAAUAACCGUUCAGCUCUGGUGAGGCAUCAGCUGAAGUAGCAGGUCUGGUUUUGUACUACGCUUGUUAGGAAAUGUAAGCGGUUCAGGAAGCAGCAAUGAGAUUGAAGUGAAAUCAAUAAAACAUCAGGACGUAAGUAUCUGAGAAUGAGAAGUGUAAGGAGAUAAGAGGUUCAGUAGGUUUCCCAACAGCGUACUUAAAGGAACUACAAGUCUUCAAAUACAAAGAGAACAAUUGAGUCCUUUCAUCUUUUCAGUGUCUUAUGUCUCCUUUCAUCUUUUCAGUGUCUUAUGUCUACGCUGGAUAGAAGAAGAAUUAAGAGACUUAUUGAUUCGAGGAAGAUUUAGACCAGUCACUGAGGAGGAACUAGCAGGAAGAGAUUUUCAAGGCAGGUCCUUGGGCUGUGUGUGGCAAUUGGGCACGUACCUGUUGGAAAUGCUUCAGGCAGAGAGCAACCUGUCUGUAGAGCCCCGGUACAGCAGGGUGCUGGCCUGAAACCAAUGUUCUGUGGGACUGGAGCCAGAAACAGGAUCAGGGUUGCAGGAAGAACCCUGAAAAGAAAGGCUCUUCUUUCAGAAAGUGGAGCUCCAUGAGCUGUCGGCAUCCCAGGGGCAGAGCAGAGGCAGAUUUUGGCUGUGAAGUUGACCCAGCCAAUGCCACGCAGGACAAGGUGGCAUUGAGAAGGUCCACAGCAGCAGCAUGUGUGCUGGAGGGGAACCACAAGCCGUGAAGGAUAGGGCAAAAGUGCCCGCUUCAUAAAUACACAUAAACAAACAAAACAGCUCACCAGCAGACAAAAUUCAGUGCUUCAGUGACCAUGGUUUCUCCUCUGCGAAGGCCCUCCUGUUGCCUUAGAAAAUUAUCAUCCCGUUUACUUAAUUAGGCUGACUCCAAGCUUUAGGCAUCGGCCUGCCAAGAUGAUGCACACAGCUCUUGUCUAUUUGCCCUCAGCAAGCUUGCCUGCCUUGCCCUCUUCUGUGCUCUGAAACCCAGAAAUUCCACACAGAUGGUAUUUUUUAAGGUGUUUCUAAUAGCAAUGAUUUGGAAGGGAAUGCUGAGCCUUCUUGAAAUAUGGAGGAGACAUUGACGAGACCACUGUGUUUUCUGUUUGCGUGUGAAUGACAGAUGCUAUUCACAUCAAACAGAGGAUGCAUAAAGUCAUGGUGAUUGUAAAGACGUGGUGGGCAUAUUUCUGCACUGCAAAACUCAGGAACACGGCCUGCCAGGUAGUUCAUCCCCACGUGCUGGAGGAGCCGUGCCCUUUG
ensembl:lncRNA